rnacentral:rRNA from 1 species
CUAUCGCUUACAGAUGGGCCCGCGGUGCAUUAGCUAGUUGGUAGGGUAAUGGCCUACCAAGGCAACGAUGCAUAGCCGACCUGAGAGGGUGAUCGGCCACACUGGGACUGAGACACGGCCCAGACUCCUACGGGAGGCAGCAGUAGGGAAUCUUCCGCAAUGGACGAAAGUCUGACGGAGCAACGCCGCGUGUAUGAAGAAGGUUUUCGGAUCGUAAAGUACUGUUGUUAGAGAAGAACAAGGAUAAGAGUAACUGCUUGUCCCUUGACGGUAUCUAACCAGAAAGCCACGGCUAACUACGUGCCAGCAGCCGCGGUAAUACGUAGGUGGCAAGCGUUGUCCGGAUUUAUUGGGCGUAAAGCGCGCGCAGGCGGUCUUUUAAGUCUGAUGUGAAAGCCCCCGGCUUAACCGGGGAGGGUCAUUGGAAACUGGAAGACUGGAGUGCAGAAGAGGAGAGUGGAAUUCCACGUGUAGCGGUGAAAUGCGUAGAUAUGUGGAGGAACACCA